AUGGUAUGCGGGUUUACUCGUGUUCUUUCGGGUGCACUUCCUUACUUGCAAGUUAGCAUCAAUUUUGGUUAUCAUAAAAAAAUUGAGGGAAGGUGGCUUUUCUUCGGAAAAGUGUUAUAGACCUUGAGAAAUGUGAUGACCGGGAUUGAGGAUUGCAGCGGAUACCCUUUUGGGCUAGUCACCUGGCUUCUGAUGGUUACCCCGUCUUCGACAGCUUGCUGACGUUGAUGGGACUCGAUUGUCUAGAUGUUGGAGUGAUCG
rnacentral:rRNA from 1 species